AGAGAAUGAGUUGCAAUGUCUUGAAAACGCUUCGUAAUAAGAGUGAAGUAGACGAAGUUAUAAGAUCAACCGAAGACGUCGUAUUAGUUUUACGAUUUGGACGAGAGAAUGACACAGUGUGUAUGCAAUUAGACAAUAUUAUAGAAAUGAAAUCACGAAAAGGUUUAAAAGGAAGUAUCUAUAUGGAAAUUAGAAAAGUAGCAUGCCUGUCAAAAGUUGAUUUACGGAGCAAGCCGAUAGACCUGGAAAAAGCUUCUACAGAAUUGGGCAAUAUGGCUGAGAUAUACUGUGUUAAUGUAGAUAGUGUUCAUGUAUAUACCCAGUACUUUGAUAUCACUCUCAUACCAGCUACUGUUUUCUUCUUUAAUGCAC